UACGUAGGGUGCGAGCGUUAAUCGGAAUUACUGGGCGUAAAGCGUGCGCAGGCGGUUUUGUAAGCCAGGUGUGAAAUCCCCGGGCUCAACCUGGGAAUGGCAUUUGGGACUGCAAGGCUGGAGUGCGGCAGAGGAGACUGGAAUUCCUGGUGUAGCGGUGAAAUGCGCAGAUAUCAGGAAGAACACCCGUGGCUAAGGCGGCUCUCUAGUACGUGACUGACGCUGAGACGCGAAAGCGUGGGGAGCGAACAGG
rnacentral:rRNA from 1 species